rnacentral:snRNA from 1 species
GUGCUGCCUUUGACAGCAGAUAUGCUAAAAUGGGAAAAAUAGAAAGACGGUGCCGUGGCCCGUGAGCAAAGAUUGCGUGCAAAUUCAUGAAGCAUCCCAUAUUUUA